UACGUAGGGUGCGAGCGUUAAUCGGAAUUACUGGGCGUAAAGUGUGCGCAGGCGGCCGAGCAAGUCGAGUGUGAAAGCCCCGGGCUUAACUUGGGAAUUGCGCUCGAAACUACUUGGCUGGAGUGUGGCAGAGGAAGGUGGAAUUCCAGGUGUAGCGGUGAAAUGCGUAGAGAUCUGGAGGAACACCGAUGGCGAAGGCAGCCUCCUGGACCAAUAUUGACGCUCAGGCACGAAAGCGUGGGGAGCAAAAAGG
rnacentral:rRNA from 1 species